rnacentral:rRNA from 1 species
AGAGUUUGAUCCUGGCUCAGGACGAACGCUGGCGGCGUGCUUAACACAUGCAAGUCGAACGGAAAGGCCCUUUCGGGGGUACUCGAGUGGCGAACGGGUGAGUAACACGUGGGUGAUCUGCCCUGCACUUCGGGAUAAGCUUGGGAAACUGGGUCUAAUACCGGAUAGGACCAUGCCAUGCAUGUGGUGUGGUGGAAAGCUUUUGCGGUGUGGGAUGGGCCCGCGGCCUAUCAGCUUGUUGGUGGGGUGAUGGCCUACCAAGGCGACGACGGGUAGCCGGCCUGAGAGGGUGUCCGGCCACACUGGGACUGAGAUACGGCCCAGACUCCUACGGGAGGCAGCAGUGGGGAAUAUUGCACAAUGGGCGCAAGCCUGAUGCAGCGACGCCGCGUGGGGGGUGACGGCCUUCGGGUUGUAAACCUCUUUCACCAUCGGCGAAGCCCAUGAUUUUUGUUGUGGGUGACGGUAGGUGGAGAAGAAGCACCGGCCAACUACGUGCCAGCAGCCGCGGUAAUACGUAGGGUGCGAGCGUUGUCCGGAAUUACUGGGCGUAAAGAGCUCGUAGGUGGUUUGUCGCGUUGUCCGUGAAAUUCCCUGGCUUAACUGGGGGCGUGCGGGCGAUACGGGCAGACUGGAGUACUGCAGGGGAGACUGGAAUUCCUGGUGUAGCGGUGGAAUGCGCAGAUAUCAGGAGGAACACCGGUGGCGAAGGCGGGUCUCUGGGCAGUAACUGACGCUGAGGAGCGAAAGCGUGGGGAGCGAACAGGAUUAGAUACCCUGGUAGUCC